AAGCUCGUAGUUGAAUUUCGGGGUCAGUAGGUUGGUCGUGCCACUGGUAUGUACUAGUCUCACUGAUUCCUCCUUCCUGAUGAGCUGUAAUGCCAUUAAUUUGGUGUUGCAGGGAAUCUGGACUGUUACUUUGAAAAAACUUAGAGUGUUUAAAAGCAGGCUAACGCUUGAAUACAUUAAGCAUGGAAUAAUGAAAUAGGACGUUCGAUCCUAUUUUAGUUGGUUUCUAGGAUUGACGUAAUGAUUAAUAGGGAUAGUUGGG
rnacentral:rRNA from 1 species